AGCAUUGUCGCGUGAAGCACGUGCGAAAGAGAACGAACGAGAGAAGCGUCGGCAAGCUUCCCAUAGUUUUUUACUUUUGUAUACAGAAUAGUGUAUUUAAUGUAAGUUCUUGUAAUGAAACUGUGAUCUCUCAGUGCGGAGUAAAUUAGUGUAUAUUUACGGAAGACACCGUCGUCGAUAUUUCGGAUAACUGUAGUUGAAAUAAACCCACCGCUUCUCCCCAACCACCCUGAAUCCCCUGCCAAGGAACCAUGGAUGCCAAACAAAUUAUGAAUGAUGAGCCGAAUGUUACACUUACUAUUAGACUGAUUAUGCAGGGGAAGGAAGUUGGCAGUAUAAUAGGCAAGAAAGGGGAAAUCGUAAACAGAUUUAGGGAGGAAUCGGGAGCCAAAAUAAACAUUUCGGAUGGUUCGUGCCCGGAGAGAAUUGUAACCGUUACAGGAUCAACAAGUGCAAUUUUUAAAGCUUUUACACUUAUUUGUAAAAAGUUCGAAGAGUGGUGUUCCCAGUUCCAGGAUGUCAACACUACAGGUAGUGGUGUGCCGCGACCGCCUAUAACGCUCAGGCUUAUAGUGCCGGCGAGCCAGUGCGGUUCGUUGAUCGGCAAGGGCGGUUCGAAGAUCAAAGAGAUACGCGAAGUGACGGGAGCGUCGAUCCAGGUCGCUUCUGAGAUGUUGCCCAAUUCCACGGAGAGGGCGGUCACGAUCUCGGGAACGGGAGAGGCCAUCACGCAGUGCAUUUAUCACAUUUGCAAUGUUAUGCUCGCGUCCCCUCCCAAAGGAGCAACCAUCCCCUACCGACCCAAACCCCAAGUGGGUGGCCCCGUGAUCCUGGCCGGCGGACAGGCCUAUACCAUCCAAGGCAACUACGCCGUUCCCGCCCACACAGACGUAAGUAGCUCAGUAAUGACCCCCCUUCUUGCCCCCCAUCCCCACUUGUCACUCGGCGGCCACCCGUUGGCCUUGGCGCCCCAAGCGGCCGCUGCUGCCCCCCUCAUGCCUUUCGAGCCAAUCAAGAAUGGACAUAUGCAGGCUGCACUACCGCCCGCGCAUCUGUUGCCAGAUGUAGCGGCGUUAACGAAAAAUCCUCUAGCAGGUCUGGCCGCUUUAGGUUUAGGCGGAUUGGCUCCCGCGAACACGGGAGGUCUCAAUCCCGCAGUCGAUUUCUCAGCUCUGGCGGCACUGGCCGGUUCUCAGCUCAGAAGCGCGAAUUCUCGCAACCAACACAAUUCGAACCAGCAGACGCACGAGAUGACGGUGCCGAACGAAUUGAUCGGGUGUAUCAUCGGUAAAGGGGGCACGAAGAUCGCCGAAAUUCGGCAGAUUUCCGGCGCCAUGAUACGGAUUUCGAACUGUGACGACCGCGAGAGCGGUUCCUCGGACAGAACCAUCACCAUAUCGGGGAACCCGGACGCCGUCGCGUUGGCCCAAUAUUUGAUCAACAUGAGUGUUGAGCUGCAGAAAGCUAACCUAGAGGCCCAAAACUCCCCAACUACUGGCAGCUCCAGCCAGUCAUCCACCACCGCCGCCUCUCCCCUGGCCAGUGCCAUCCCGCUCGCCCAACUCUUAACCAAGCCGGGGGCGCUCAACGCGCUGACCAGUCUCAGCGCGUUGGGCGGCCUCUCGGAGCUGUUGGGUGGUCAGGGUGGUGUACCUCCUGUCCAGACCACCGGCGUCCAUCGCACCCACAAGAGUUACACGCCCCGACUGAGGUCCCCGGGCGGAUCCGGAGGGCCGUCGGAGGGCUCCAAACUGAAGAGCGAGAGAAACAAGUUUAACCCAUACUAGGUGCUGCUAUCGUCCGACGUCACUUAUUUAGUUGUAGCUCUCGACUUUAUAUUUUUUCGCAAAGUAACGGGGCCACUGUAGCGUGUUAUAAUAGGUGAAGUAAUCGCUUGAUACUUUUAAGGGACGGAUGGACUUUGAACAGUGAACUAACGGCUUUUCGGAUAAAGCUCAAUUAUUAGUAGUAAAACAACUGUUAGGUCAUUGGGCAUCGAAUUCGAUGGUAAAGGCUGAACGUGUAAGGUUUAAUAAUGGUAGUGCCUUUAGAGUUAUGGAGUAUACCUUUAAAUCUAACGGCAAAUGUAAACCAAAUACUUCUUUAAUGUUUAGUUAGUGGUUUGUAUUUUAAGACAAAAACAUACUUUCAAUACAAUUUAGGUUUUAAGGAAUAUUUCGAAAAGACAUGCGUAAUUUCAAAGCAUUGUAAUAUGCUUGGUUAAUGUACACGUAAGCACCAUAAUUAAUUUAUUAUUAUACAUAUUCAAUGCGGGGUUAGGAUAACAUUUUGUCAUUAGUAUUCGACCAAAUUUCGGGAAAACGGAAACGUGCAUCACAUAUCACUGAAAUUUGACACUACUGACCUACAGAACGGAUUAGCAAGACCAGGUGCUACAAUGGCGUGAACUGCUGGUCCCUUUUUCAAUUUUUGACACUAGAACCCCACAUCACGUUAUUCGAAACAUCUAUUUGUGAUUCGUUGUGAAAGUAAGUUAAUUUUCAUAUUAGGACUUUCUAAUCCGUUGACCUACAAAGCCCGAUCAACAUUUUCAAAAACAUUUUACUCAAUGACCCAAAGCAAUUCCAACAUUGCUUUUCUCAGUAAAAAUAUAAAGUCGAUAAAGUUCCAUAGUAUGUAUUUUUGCAUAUUUUUGUUACACAUAUAUAUUAAUUGGUUGUAAGUGUAUUUGGAAUAUCGCGAACUAAAUAUGAGAGUUUCCUCCCCCUUUUUUUCCGAGUUGACUCUUUUAAAGCGUCUUUUGAAUGACAGGGUACAAAAUAGAUGCUAUUGUGUGCAGAGUGUUCAAUUUUCAUUUUAUUAUACACUUUACUAACAUUUGCACUUUUGCUGAUAUAUAUUGAAAAAAUAUUUAUACUUAAAUUAUUUUAUACACAAUUUUUAUUUUGGGUUCUUUAGCUGAUGAUUAGAAUUGUGGAUUUUACAUACACAUAAAAUUGGUGUUUUAUGUAUAAAAGCAAUCACUUAAAGUUAUUUUUAAAAAAAUGAACAUUUUUAUUCAAAAUUUUGAAAAAUGUUUUGCAAAUGUUUUCUUUUAGUCAUUGUCGUUGCGCUUUUGCGAAUUACACAUUGGGAACUGUUUUGGAAUAAAGUUAUAUGUAACGUUACAUAGUUCCGAUGUUAGAAAUUCUCUGGUUGGCAAAUGGAUGUCUCAUUUCUUGAUAACCAGGGUGACAUAUCAUCGUAUCAUCAGGAGAACCAGAUUUUUACAUUUUACGUACAAUCUAGUUCUACGGAUAUUUCUUUUUUUUUACAAAAUAAGUACAUUUAUAAUUGUUAAGAUAGUAUUAAGGAUAAGGCUAAACUGUCUUUUUGCAUAUUAGUGUAUUUGAUUAAUUUCACGUGUAAUGCUUAAAGUUAAUACAACUCUAUGUAUCUUAAAUAUUUUGAGUUUUUUUAUUAUAUUUAUUUUACGAUUUGCAGGUAUUUGCGACGUCUUAAGUUAUGCGAAUGGUAUUACUAAAUUUUUCAGUGUUACAAAAUUCUUGUGCAUUUGUUAUUUCGCUCAAGAUGUUUCGGUAACUAGUUAGCGUUUUUUUUUUUUUUUUUUAAUUUUAAUUUCGCGAUUGGCUCUAUUAGUUGGCCUAUUGUUUGAAAAAAAAAAACUGAGUGAAAGUUGCGUGUCCACCACAAAUAAUGUCUACCAUCAAAAUCACAUCCUAAGCCUAAGCUAACAGAAUGAUGCCUUUGAACCAACCAAUCCAGGCCAAGAAGACUCAUUUUCCCGGAUAUCCAUGGAAACUGCGGGGCUACCAGGUCUCCCGGGUUAUCACUACAUCGCUCCAAAUCACAUAGUGAAGGCGCCGAUACACUGAGGCCUUCUCGCUCAUUUUGCCCAGGCGUUGCAGCAAUAACUCGAUCUAGUGGUAAAUGUUUUAGUGUCAACUUCUACCGUUACCGGAAAAAAAUCUGUGCAAUUGCCAAAAAAAAAGCGAAAGAAAACGCGAAUAAAAAAAUGUUUCUGACAAUAUGUCGAGUCGAAAAAGAAAACGGUUCUGGGAACAAAACCAAAGAAUUUUUCUUUCGAUAUUUUACAAAAUUAAAAUAUGUAUAUUCUAUUUACAUACUAGUUACAUUAUAGAUGAUAAAGUGAAAUCAUACAAUUGCCGUUAGUUAUUUAUUGUAUUUAGGUUUAUUUAUUUUAUUGGCCUGUUUUGAAUUGCGUUUGUCUCGUGAGGUGUUGAUUGGAUCUUGUUUCUGUCCUGUUCUCUUCCAUUGUUUUUUUUUGCAAAUGCCAAACUUCUGUAGAACUAGAAAAUAUCUCUUUCUUUCGAUAAAUCCCAUAAAUGAAAACCGAUUCACUAGGUAAUGAAUUCUUCGCAAGGAGACAGGACAGUAAUGGUAUUUUAACUGUUAUACAGUUCUUUGUUUGGGUUAGUAACUUAUAAUAUAUUAUUAUUAGAUACGUUAAUUGUUCGACAUUGCAAACAAUUGGAGUGAUUUGGGCAGUUUUGUGAUUCUAAUAAAGUAUUAGGUGAAAUAUAAAUGCAAGGCAUUUUUGCAUUUUUAAAUAUCGGGCUGUGGAUUAAAGUAUUUUGUUACAUGUUGAUUAAUGAUUGUGAUUUUUUCCCCGCAUGAAACUAGGUGCCAAAUUUUCUUCCUUCUAACGAUCGACACAUUUUUAACUAAAAUGCUCACUUCACUUCAUCUUUAUUCGAUUUCGCAUUAAAUUUUGUGUAAUUAACGAUGUUAUUUAUCGGUGUUAUGACGCAAAUCCCUGUUUGUGAAUAGUGUAAGUACGCUGUGAUCACGUCUAGGUGAAACGAGCACUGUUGAAUUACCAUUUGCUUAUAUAAUGGUAGCUUUUCUAGUGGUCGGUCUAUUUUCAAUUACCAUGACGUGGAUACAAAAACCACGUUGGUGUAUUCGGAGGGCAGAUUGAAAAUAAACCAGCCCCAUGCGCUUUUUAGGCGGCGUACCAGUUGAUUUUGUUAGCAGUAUUUAUUUUUCAUACGCCUUCCGGCUUUUAUUUUACAAAAAUAUCGGCUCGGAAGUACAGCUUUUGCGUACAGAGCAAAUGUUAUCCUUUGCAGUUAUGAAUUAUUUAUUAUUUUUUUGGAACAGUUCCAACUUAUCUAGUUUCAAUCUAGCUACGGUUAUUAAAUGUGUACACUAUUUAUUUUACGCAAUAGAUAAUUAUAUAAUCUAAACGUUCGUUAUCGUCUGAGGUAAUAGGUCUAGUCAUUUUUGAGCUCAAACACUUUGGUGGUUUACUUCGGAACAACACUGUCGAAUUGAUAAAAGACAUUUUCUCUGUUAAUUUAUCUUAGUGGACCAAAAAGACAAAAUCAUCCGGACAAAUGGCACUGUCGUCCGAGGUAAACCUUUAGGCUAGGCUGUAAGAGUUUAUCGUAUUUUAAAGUAAUUAGAUAUAUCCACGUGACUAUAACUGGGGACAAUCCGUUUUCCCUUAGUACUAGAUGUUUAUGUUAAUACUAUUAUUCUUAGUGCCAAAGGAAAUAAUGGUUGGGUUAUCGGAAAAGUGCUGGCCUGGUUUUAUCAACGCUAAACUCGUUUCUGAUGGACACACAACUUUUAAACAAUCUCGAGAGGAGUUAUAAAGGAGAGAGACAAUUUAAAUCCAAUCGAUUCUAUGAUAAAGUACUGUCGCGACUGAAACGAACAAUUACGGAGCUAUCUUGGCCGCUAAUUAUCUCGGUUUUCUCGUAAGGGAUUUACAAAAAAAUUAAUCAGCGAUCAGUUUAACCACCUCAUCGGUUAAGAAUUGUUUUCCGAUUGGAAGGAUUGGCCAGUAAACAACUUUUCAAAUUCUUAUCUAAAAUUGUUUAAAAGUCUACAGGAACUCCAGUUUGCGGUACGUAAUGACCGGUAGUAGAGUAGUUUUCCGAUGGAUCUCGUAUUAGCAAUGAAGGUGAAAAGUGAAGGAGAUAUGGAUUUUGAUAUCCCAAACAAUAGAGUGUGAUCUCGUACAAAUCCGGUUAGGUAGGAACGUUGUUAAAUACUCGUAGUUUGUUACGGAAUCACACUUUGCAAACGGAUCUGAUAUUUUUCUAGUCAAAACUACCCUUCUUGGAUUUGAAAACGCUCCGUCAAGGGUGGUCUGCUUAAAAUUCUAACAAUACCUUGAGUAAUUAACAUCAUACCGCCACUGGCGAUAUAUUUACAUCCCUCAAGUAGGUAGUUGAUCACCGUAGGUUCAUUUUGACUAAUGGUUAUAUAGUCGGGACGCUGGGGGAAUAUUGGUAUGUUUUUCAAUGAGUUUCGUUCAUUUUUUCGCUUUAUUAACAAUUUAAUAUCAUAUCAAGAUGUAUGAUGUAAAUGUUUUAUAUUCCAUUUUGGAUCCACUUUCCACAAUUCUUUUUGGAGCAACGUAAUGUCUGAACAUAGUAAAAAUUCGUGUUAUUUUUUUUUUUUUAAAACGAUUGAAUUGUUAUUUUAAAAAAAACGCUGAUCUAUGUGCCAAAAAAUCUGCGUACCAUAGUUCUUUGAGGGUCCCCAUUGUGAUCCGUUAACAAAGCUUUGACAUUAGUGGUAAGUAGUGUUUUUUAGACGGGGCCUUAAUGUUCGGCUAUCUCAUAGAUGUCGUGUUGUGCCAGGCAAUCAGAGGUUAGCUUGUCUGUAGCGAUUUAAAACGCGCUAUCAGUACUUUACGGAGCCGCAACGGCAAACUGUUGGUUAAUUUUAAUUUCAUAAAAUAACAGGAGUUGUACUUUAUUGUAUACAUGUCUCUUUCCAGUGUAUAGUACAAAUACGGACUAUUGGUUUCUGAUAGUGGUUAAUGGUAAUUAUCUCAUCGGUGUCCUACUUAUCCCUUUUUAAUUGUCAGCAAAAAAAAAUUCUUUAACCUCUCUACCGUUGGUGUAUUAAGAUUGACCUUCUCGAUCUAGUGGAGUUUAGCCAAUUGAAUGUUAAUUUAUGAAAUUAUCGACCAAGUAAUAAUAUUAAUGCAAUUAUUAAGUGUAAAAUAUUUUGAACUUUGUAUUUACAAAAUACAUAUGACUGAUUUAUAACAUAUUUUUGCAAACGCCACCACCGAUACGGUUAAAAGAGUUAUUGUACAUAAAUAAAUUUCGGUGCCCUGAACUCUUCUGAUUAUUGAAAUCACACAAUCAUGAAAAAAUAUCAUUUUAUAGCCUUUUUGAAUACAGGGUCUUUAUUAAAAUAAGAGAAACUAUAUAGGUUACUGUGAAGAGAAUUUCGUCUGUACAACAUAAAAAAGAAUAAAAAAAAGCAGCAUUGUUUUGUGUGAAAUUAUAUAUUUUAGUAUGCCAAAAGUUAAUAUUCCAUUUUUAUAUUGUUAUGAAGUUGCCAAAGCAAUAUUCUAAAUAAAACUUAUGAUCACACACACAUACACACACAUUCGCAAUUACCGGAAAUUUGUGGCAACAAUUUUCAGGGUAAUGAGUUUUUCGUUUUGGCGAAGACUUUGAAACCGCAAGCGUAGUCGUUUACGUUCUAGUAAGUGCAAAUAGUUUAGUGUCGAGAAUAUCUGUAUGUACGCUCUAUAUUUAUAAAGCUUUUUGCUUAAAUAUCACAACACGACUGUAUCGUACUUUAGACUAGAAGCACGCUGUUACUAAAAAAAUUAUUUACCUAGCUCGUACCAAAUAUCGAUUCUUGUCAUAUCUAUUACAUAUCCCUUAUUACUGUCUGCAAAUCUGAUUACGUGGGAGUGUUAAUAAUAAUUGCUACAUGUUACUACACAACUACUGAAUUUUUUGCUCAAUAUGAUUUCUCUCAUAUCGUAUUUUAUUGUCUACCCAAAGUAAAGUAUUUUGAUAUGAGAUUACCAUGUUAACGGAAAAAUACAACAUGAGUAGUUCCAAAGAAUAUUUAGAUUCGAAAUUGUGCAUAUAAGAACAAUGUUAGACUUUUCGGUACACUCAAUUGCUGUUCUUAUCAUAUGCGAAAUGUUUAGAGUAUUUACAUUUAUAAGAUGGUUUACGUUUUGUUUUUGGUUAAUAAAGUGUGACUAUUA